UACGUAGGGUGCAAGCGUUGUCCGGAAUUAUUGGGCGUAAAGAGCUCGUAGGCGGUUUGUCGCGUCUGCUGUGAAAAACGCGAGGCUCAACCUCGCGCCUGCAGUGGGUACGGGCAGACUAGAGUGCGGUAGGGGGAGAUUGGAAUUCCUGGUGUAGCGGUGGAAUGCGUAGAGAUCCGGAAGAACACCGGUGGCGAAGGCGGUUAGCUGGGGCAGUUGCUGACACUGAGGCGCGACAGCGUGGGGAGCAAACAGG
rnacentral:rRNA from 1 species